rnacentral:rRNA from 1 species
CUUGGUCAUUUAGAGGAAGUAAAAGUCGUAACAAGGUUUCCGUAGGUGAACCUGCGGAAGGAUCAUUAACGUAUCUCUGACGGGGUUCGGUGCGCCCUGCUCCGGUCGACAACGGCCGUGCAGCGGGUUCCCGUCCCUGUUCACACCUCACAAACCCACUGUGAACCUUCACGGCGGAAGGGAGGCGACUCCCCGAGGCCGCAUACCAAACCCCAGUUGUAAAGAAUGUCGUGCGGACUUUGCGCCGCCUAAAACACAAAACAACUUUCAACAACGGAUCUCUUGGCUCUCGCAUCGAUGAAGAACGCAGCGAAAUGCGAUAAGUAAUGUGAAUUGCAGAAUUCAGUGAAUCAUCGAAUCUUUGAACGCACCUUGCGCUCCUUGGUAUUCCGAGGAGCAUGCCUGUUUGAGUGUCUUGAAGUCAUCAACCCCUCCCGUUUCGUGCGUGGAAGGGUUGGAUGUGGGGGCUCUGCUGCCGUGAGGCGGCUCCCCUCAAAUGCAUCGGUUGGGCCUGUGGGUCGAACUCGACUGGGCGUUGUACCAUCCUCGCUCGACAGAGACGUUCCCCUCCUGCGCCCUCCCCCGACCUGCCUAUCAGAGCGGCGGUCAAGCAACAAACUUUGAAAUCUGACCUCAAAUCAGGUAGGACUACCCGCUGAACUUAAGCAUAUCAAUAAGCGGAGGAAAAGAAACUAACAAGGAUUCCCCUAGUAACUGCGAGUGAAGCGGGAAAAGCUCAAAUUUGAAAUCUGGCGGCUCCGUCGCCCGAGUUGUAUUCUGGAGAAGCGUCUUCCGCGUCGGACCGUGUACAAGUGCCUUGGAACAGGACGUCAUAGAGGGUGAGAAUCCCGUCUUUGACACGGACGCCCGAUGCUCUGUGAUGCGCUCUCGAAGAGUCGAGUUGUUUGGGAAUGCAGCUCAAAACGGGUGGUAAAUUCCAUCUAAAGCUAAAUAUUGGCGAGAGACCGAUAGCGAACAAGUACCGUGAGGGAAAGAUGAAAAGCACUUUGGAAAGAGAGUAAAACAGUACGUGAAAUUGUUGAAAGGGAAACGCUUGAAGU